rnacentral:rRNA from 1 species
GGGUCUGCGGAAGGAUCAUUAAUGAAAUAAAUUUGGUCUAGGCUGUUGCUGGCUCCUCGGAGCAAUGUGCACGUCUAUUCCGACUUUACACCCACCUGUGCACUUUGUGUAGAUCUGAACAAAUGUCGAGGUAAACUCGGUCUCAGGGAUUGCUGUGCGAUGUGUCUUUGCCGGCUUUCUCUUCACACUUCAGAUCUAUGUUUCCAAUACACUCCAUGUCAAACAUCAUUGAAAUAAUAUUGCUAGGGCAUAUAUAUGCCUAUGUAUAAUAUAUAUAACAACUUUCAACAACGGAUCUCUUGGCUCUCGCAUCGAUGAAGAACGCAGCGAAAUGCGAUAAGUAAUGUGAAUUGCAGAAUUCAGUGAAUCAUCGAAUCUUUGAACGCACCUUGCGCUCCUUGGUAUUCCGAGGAGCAUGCCUGUUUGAGUAUCAUGAAAUUCUCAACCUUUCUAAGCUUUUUCGUAAAAGCCGAGUUAGGCUUGGAUUCUGGGAGUGUGUGCUGGCCUGUUAACAAAGUCAGCUCUCCUUAAAUUUAUUAGCAAGAUUUUGAUAGCUAAGGUCGCUAAUUGAUAUGAUAAACUAUCUAUAUCAUUGGUGAAACAGCGUAAAAAGAAAAAUCUGGCUCCCUAAUCGUCUUUCUAGACAAUUUCUUGAUUCAUUAGGUCUCAAGAUCAGUAUGCCUGUACGGG